rnacentral:rRNA from 1 species
GACGAACGCUGGCGGCGUGCUUAACACAUGCAAGUCGAACGGAAAGGCCCUGCUUGCAGGGUACUCGAGUGGCGAACGGGUGAGUAACACGUGGGUGAUCUGCCCUUCACUUCGGGAUAAGCCUGGGAAACUGGGUCUAAUACCGGAUAGGAGCCAUUUUUAGUGUGAUGGUUGGAAAGUUUUUUCGUUGUAGGAUGAGCUCGCGGCCUAUCAGCUUGUUGGUGGGGUAAUGGCCUACCAAGGCGGCGACGGGUAGCCGGCCUGAGAGGGUGGACGGCCACAUUGGGACUGAGAGACGGCCCAGACUCCGACGGGAGGCAGCAGUGGGGAAUAGUGCACAAUGGGCGCAAGCCUGAUGCAGCGACGCCGCGUGGGGGAUGACGGCCUUCGGGUUGUAAACUCCUUUCGCUAGGGACGAAGCUUUUUGUGACGGUACCUAGAGAAGAAGCACCGGCUAACUACGUG